UACAGAGGUGGCAAGCGUUGUUCGGAAUUACUGGGCGUAAAGGGCACGUAGGCGGUCUUUUAAGUCUUGUGUGAAAUCCCUCGGCUCAACUGAGGAACUGCACGGGAUACUGGAAGACUUGAGUUCGGGAGAGGGAAGCGGAAUUCCGGGUGUAGCGGUGAAAUGCGUAGAUAUCCGGAGGAACACCGGUGGCGAAGGCGGCUUCCUGGACCGAUUACUGACGCUGAGGCGCGAAAGCUAGGGGAGCAAACGGG
rnacentral:rRNA from 1 species